UACGUAGGUGACAAGCGUUGUCCGGAUUUACUGGGCGUAAAGAGCGCGCAGGCGGUCGUUCAAGUCGCGUGUGAAAGCCCCCGGCUCAACUGGGGAGGGUCACGCGAUACUGAUCGACUCGAAGGCAGGAGAGGGAAGUGGAAUUCCCGGUGUAGUGGUGAAAUGCGUAGAUAUCGGGAGGAACACCGGUGGCGAAGGCGGCAUCCUGGACCAAUAUUGACGCUGAGGAGCGAAAGCCAGGGGAGCAAACGGG
rnacentral:rRNA from 1 species